GGUCGGCGCCAGGGAUCUCUGGGAUGCCGAAUGGAAUAGAGCCUCCACAUGGAGCUGAGAGUCCAACUGUUGCCGCUAUUAGCCGAUCCAGGUGGUGAGCGAUGACUCUGGGGAUGAGCCAGAGAGUCAGGAUACUGAGGUUCCCAUGGGUCACAUGGGAAAAGAAGCCGGCAGCGUGGUGUCGGCGGUGGAUGGAGGUGCAGCUAAAGGUGACAGAAGGGGUACCAAGCGCAAUCCGUGGACCCCAGCAGAAGUGAAAGCUGUUGAACGUCGCAUGAUUCGGUUCAUUCGCUCAUUCAAGGUGCCGGGCAAGAAUGACUGUGAUGCGUGCCUAAGGGCAGAACGACAAGCGCUGAAGGCUCGGAACUGGCUCUCGGUUAAGUUUUACAUUAAGAACCGAAUUACUGCUGAAAUGAGAAAGAACCUUUCCUGAAUAAAAUGUAU